UAUGUAGGAGGGACAAAUUUCAUCUAGGUCACUCAUGUCCCUCAACAUGAUUCGUGGAGUACCCAUCAACCAACUUUAUGGUCAUCUUGUUACAGACAAUGUUUAAAUGGUGAUAAAGCACCCGACUCCUACAUCUAGGGUACAUAGUGGUUUCAGGUCAAAGGGUGGAAUACACCACUAUCACUAUGAGAAUAUCUUAUGACAUUUUUCAUA
rnacentral:lncRNA from 1 species